rnacentral:rRNA from 1 species
AGUAACGCGUGGGUAACCUGCCCUAGACAGGGGGAUAACUAUUGGAAACGAUAGCUAAGACCGCAUAGGUACGGACACUGCAUGGUGACCGUAUUAAAAGUGCCUCAAAGCACUGGUAGAGGAUGGACUUAUGGCGCAUUAGCUGGUUGGCGGGGUAACGGCCCACCAAGGCGACGAUGCGUAGCCGACCUGAGAGGGUGACCGGCCACACUGGGACUGAGACACGGCCCAGACUCCUACGGGAGGCAGCAUG